rnacentral:rRNA from 1 species
UACCGAGGAGCCAAGCGUUGUCCGGAUUGACUGGGCGUAAAGCGCACGUAGGCGGAUAUUUAAGUCAGGGGUGAAAUCCCAGAGCUCAACUCUGGAACUGCCUUUGAUACUGGGUAUCUUGAGUAUGGAAGAGGUGAGUGGAAUUCCGAGUGUAGAGGUGAAAUUCGUAGAUAUUCGGAGGAACACCAGUGGCGAAGGCGGCUCACUGGUCCAUUACUGACGCUGAGGUGCGAAAGCGUGGGGAGCAAACAGG